GGCAGGGGAAGCUCAUCAGAGGGGCCAUUUUGAGAGUGCUCGUCACUCCCCAGCCCGUGGGAAAGUCUGAGACUGGGGCCUCCUGAGGCCCUAACUGGGCUCUCCCUGAGUGGGGAGGUGAGUUCCCAGAGAGCAGGGCCCCAUGACCUUUAUCAUGAAGGGGUGUUGGAUUUUGUCAAAGGCCUUUUCAGCAUCUAAUGAAAUGAUCAUUUUUUUUUUCAGUUUGUUUAU
rnacentral:lncRNA from 1 species